ACUUCGUGUAAUAUGUAGUAGUCAAAGUGUGUAGAAUAAUCUUGUAAAAUAUCUAAGUCUAGAAUUAUCAUGAGAAUACUUAGGAAUUAUCUAGAUACUAGUAGUUGAUGAAGUGUUCUAGACUAUUCCAUUAUGUAGUAUAAAUAGAGGUAUCACCCCUCAUUUGUAAUUAAGCAAUAAGCAAAGCAUUCAAGAUCAAUUAAGUUUCUAAAUCAUCAAUCAUCUCUUCUACAAAUAAUAUAUAUAGCCUCCUGUUUCCAACAUAAACUUGUUUGUCUCCUCUAUGAACAUUACUUAAAUGUUAAAUACUACACAUUAUAUUAUCUGGUUUAUUUCAGCAUUGGAAGCUGGCAAAGGUUCUGUUACUCUCAUUUUGUGAUGGAACUAUUGGUUGUUGCUUCUUUCCUAACCAAACACAAAAGUGUAAAAAGUUUAUGUUUUCUUUUGCAAUAAUUUCCAAAAAAUUCCAUAUUGAACUUUCUGACAAUUACUUCGGCUCGAGGUUUCCACUAGCUAAUAAUACUAGUACCACUUUUGGAAUAGUGCUGGAACCUUUUUUCUUUUUCUUUCUAUUAACUAUUGGCAAAAACGGGGACCUCUUAGCUUGUGUUGUGCAUACAUAGACUUUGCCCUUAUUUUGUCCAUUGACUCCAAAACAAUGAAACAUUAGGCAGAGACCAAUCCAGCUCACUCAGGCUAUCUGUUAAUUAUUUGAAACCGGAGAAAUAUACUCUUUAACAUAGUAUGAUAGUGUUCGGUUUGAGUUAAAAUCGCAAAGUCUUCUCCAAAGGUCAUACACUAUCAAAAGAUAUUUUGUACCUUAUAUAUACUCCUUUUUUUAAGAAAAAAAGAUGCAAUUUGGCCAACUUGACUGGGUUUGAUCCUGCAAGUCACUUUUUGUUGAGGUUGCAUUCCACUAAUUUCAGAAUCACCCCUUUUUGUUCGGAAUAUUUUGUUCACAUUAGGAUUUACUACUCAAAAGUAUUACCAUUGCUGAUUUCGUCCGCUUUUUCCUAUUACUGUAGUACUAUUCUUACGCUAUACCAUUUCACAUCUAGUUUUAAACAAUUAUUUUGAAGAGCUGCCCUCAAAUUCAAACAAGAAACUAGUAUACGGACAUUUUUCUUCUUUUAGUGAGAAAAUUAAACCCGUCCUUUGCAAGAUUAAACUCAUAAACUUUGUUAUCUUCUAUAUAUGUAUUUAUCGGGCAAAAGGGAGCCUUAAGCAACACUAAAGUUCUUUCUGUGUAACUUAUAAGUUACAGAUUCAAAUCGUGGAAUCAACCACUAAUACUUAGACUGCCUACAGCACACCUUCUUGGGCUGCAACCCUUUCCCGCAUCAUGUGUGAAUCCAAAAUACUUCAUGCACCAGGCUGCUCUUUCACA
rnacentral:lncRNA from 1 species